rnacentral:lncRNA from 1 species
CGUAAACCUUAAAACCUAUAGGAGGGGCAGCUGGGUGGCGCAGCGGAUAGAGCACCGGCUCUGAAGUCAGGAGGACCCGAGUUCAAAUGCGGCCUCAGACCAACAGCCCAAACACUUGACACUUACUAGCUGUGUGACCCUGGGCAAGUCACUUAAUCCCAAUUGCCUAAAAAUUAAAAAAAAAUAAUUAAAAACCAUUCAGGAACCGAAACUAUUUUUGGUAGGUCUCGGUUUGGGGCAGCUCAGGCCAGUUUUUAAUCGCCCCCAUCGUUUCCUGGCCUUGGCUAGUCUCUCCAACCUCUCGCAUUUGAAGGAUCGUUGUUGGGUGGGUCAGGGGUCCUCAUAGUACCUGGAUGGCGGAGGGACCCUUGCCUUGCUGCUGGGAUGGGCGAGCCUCGACCUACACCAGCUGUUUUUCUCUUUUGCAGCUCCUGAGGCUGUUCAGGCCUUUCCUCAGAACAGCCCAGAAGCCUGGGCACUGGCUGGACAGGCUUCUGCCAGUCAGGCCUGAGCUUUUUCCCUGGCCCAGGGAUUAGAUCCUGGAUAGUCCCUGAGGGAGAAGGACUGUAUUUCAGCUUUCGGUGGCUUUUGAAGAUGUGGCAGUGUACUUCACCCAGAAGGAGUGGGAAGCUCUCACACCUUUCCAGCAGGCAUCGUACAGGCAUGUGGUGCUGGAGAAUUACAGCAACAUGAUCUCCUUGGGUAAGGCCUCUUCCCCACACUGUGACUCAGAAGCUACACUUGAGGGUUUUGUAGCAUUCUUUACUUUAGGGAAUGUGGGAUUUCUGAUAAUAUGUAGCAUGAUACUGGCUCUGAGGUUCCUAAUCUGACAGCCCUGAUCAAGGAUUAUCUGUAGUCCUAUAGAUAACAAGGCAGAACUUUUGUGUCUUGUGUCUUCCUUAGUGAAAAUCCUACUCUUGAGGAUUUUUGCUCUCUGCACAUUUUGUUUUGUCUGAGCAUCCAGGUUCUGUCAAAUCUCAGCUUUUCCAUCUAGCUCUCUUGCCUAGGAUGAAACUCUAGCCCAUUCUCCAACAGAAGGCUGUAUAUCCUCUUAAGUGAAAUUACCAACUUUUUCUCCUGACCAUAUUCUCCUAGAAGUACAACACUGUUCCUCUGACUUUCCUGGUACUUACUCUUUCUUUCGGUGUUUCUUUUUCCUCCUUGCUGGUUUCUCCAGACACAGGACUGGGAUGGCUGGCAGGAUCAGUUCUGCCUGGAUUUAAUUAACCAUUCUGUCCCAUUUCACUCCGUUUAAAUAGCAUUUGCAUUUCCUAAACGUAUCACGAUCACCCAGCUAGAGAGAGGGGAAGAGCCAUGGAUCGUGGAUCCAUAGGGAACUUUGGAGAGAGAAGACCUAAUACACGUCUGCACAAGUGAGUGAACACAGACCAGCUCUCUUGAUCUCAUCCUUUCUCUCAACUUUUUAAAACUCAAAAUUUUUGUAGGUUUUAUUUCCCCCAGUGUUACAGUAAGCAGUCAGAGGUCUAUCACUCCUGCUGGUUCCCAUAGCCAUUUUUACCUACCCCAUUACCCUUA